AUGGUUAUUGUUUUGCACUGUAGAGAUUCCUCAGCUGACAUGACAAGGAAGCUCAGUGUGUUGGUGGGCACAGACGUGACUCUCAGCUGCCUGUUUGAUAAACUGUCCAAGCUUGCAGAGUGGAGCACUCUCACGAUUGAGUGGAACAUGGUGGAUAGGCAUGCAGAGAAGAGCAUCGUAUACACUUUCGAGGAUGGUAAAGCGCACGGGAACAGAGAUGGCUCUGUGGUGGAUACAAUGCGGUUGCUAGAAAGCGAUGCAUCUCUGCAACUUCGUAAUGUGACUGUGGGAGAUGAAGGGUUGUACACCUGCAGAAUCAUCACACCUGUGGUCUACAUAGAGGCCACUUCACUGGAAGUGCUGGCUCGGCCUUCACUGUUGCUUCCUGAAAAGGCAGCAGUGACAGAGGGGGAGGAGAAGACGAUACAGUGUGAUAUCACAGGUUUCUAUCCAGAGAAGCUGGCCGUAACAUGGCACAUCCAAAAUGGCUCCCACACUGUCCCCGCAGGUGCAAGCCACCUCUUCCGCGUCUGCACCGAAAUGGCCAUUCACAAUCCAGAUGACACCUACAGCAUUCGCAGUGGCAUCACAGUGCACUCCUCAGCAGUGAGGGAUGGAGAGAUGUGCAUCAUCUGCCAGGUGGAGCACCAGACCUACACCCAGCCAUACAACAGAUCUGUUAAACUGACUGUUCAAGCUCCAGCACAGCCCCUUUACAGUGCUGUCACACUGAUAUCCGUCACCAGUGUCAUCAGUUUGCUGCUGGUCACCCUUGUUAUUGGCAGCACUUUGCUUCUCUACAGGUAUUUCUUUGAAGCUCCGCCAAGUGUUUCUGAAAUCAGCCAGCCCAGCAUCAUAUAUGCUCAGGUGCCUUCAGACCUCAAAUGCACCAUCCACGGAGCAAGCCAGCGGGAGCUCAAAGUGAAAUGGUUGAGAUUAAGAAGCCGUGCAGACUCAGCGGUCCAGUCCGAAUCUGUUUCUCUGUUGGUCAGUGAGGAUCUGAGUGAGCAGGCUUGUCUCCAGUCAGAUGACAGACACCACACAUCUGUCCUGACUGUGUGUCUGACUGUCGCUGAAGACCUGACCAAAUACCGGUGCGUGGUGCUGUGCAGGGGCAAGAGCUUCAGCAGAGAGACCACAGUCCAGGUAAAAGUGGAGCCGUCUUUCCUCCAGAUCUCCAGUAUCCCUCAGAUCCCCAAGGUGGAGAAGCUGCUGGUUCUCUGCUGUCGGGUGGAGAACUUCUACCCCCAGCACGUGGACCUGGAGUGGUCCAGGAACGACGGAGAGCAGGUCCACACCGUCACAAACUUCGGACCCUUCUCUGACCACAACAGUCUGUACAGCGUGUGGAGUGAAAUUCAGCUUGUUAUGGCCAGAGAGGACGAGAGGGCCGUCUACACCUGCCGUGUUUACCACUCCAGCUUCCCUCCACUGGGCUACAAAGAUGUCCUGUACCACAUCAACACUCAAGGAACUCCUCCUAAUGUAAUGUUCAUCAACUGUGAACCGAGGUGUCCUCUGUUGAAUGAAGAGUUAACACUGCACCUGUGCAUCAAAGACUUCUGUCCUGAAGACGUGUUAGUGACUUGGACUAAAGAUGGAGAGACGAUUCAUUCCGGUGUCUUCAACACUCCCCCGAGCCUGAACAUCAACGGCCUCUACUCCAUUUUCAGUUUUCUAAAACUCACUCCCAACAAGGACGACCGGGGCUCAAAGCUCAGGUGCCGGGUGGUCCACAGUGCCCAGAGGGAGCCUGAGGAGAGACUCUUUACACUGCAGCUGACUGACGGCUGCUGAUGUCCUCAAUGGGUAAACUGCUGCUGUGUAUUUGAUUCUGCAAAACCCAUUGUAGCAUGCCCAUCCUAUACCACAUUAAUGUACUUCCAGGUACACGACUUUCUUCAUAUACAUUAGAAAUGAGACCAAACUUCAUAAAACCCUUGGUAUUUAUUAGUCCUUGCGAUUACAGAUUCAAAAACAUGUCUAUGAUAUUCCAUUAUUUUAACCAUUCAUCAAAAACAGGCUUUGUCUGACUCUUCCAGUUAUGGAGAACAAUCCUUGAAGCGCCAAUAAAGCCAAUUAUUACUAUUGUUAUUGUUACUAUUACCAUUUCCUAAUACUUUUCUAUGAUGUUUCUUGGAAAUAAAUAAGAAAUUUGGUAAGAA